rfam:Babesia bigemina strain Bond genome assembly, chromosome: III
GCGUCAGUAGUCUAACGGUUAUGAUAUCUGCCUUCCAAGCAGAUGACCCGGGUUCGACUCCCGGCUGACGCA